rnacentral:rRNA from 1 species
AUUGAACGCUGGCGGCAUGCCUUACACAUGCAAGUCGAACGGCAGCACGGGAGCUUGCUCCUGGUGGCGAGUGGCGAACGGGUGAGUAAUACAUCGGAACGUACCCUGAAGUGGGGGAUAACGUAGCGAAAGUUACGCUAAUACCGCAUAUUCUGUGAGCAGGAAAGAGGGGGAUCGCAAGACCUCUUGCUUUAGGAGCGGCCGAUGUCGGAUUAGCUAGUUGGUGAGGUAAAGGCUCACCAAGGCGACGAUCCGUAGCGGGUCUGAGAGGAUGAUCGCCACACUGGGACUGAGACACGGCCCAGACUCCUACGGGAGGCAGCAGUGGGGAAUUUUGGGACAAUGGGCGCAAGCCUGAUCCAGCCAUGCCGCGUGAGUGAAGAAGGCCU